CCAAAAUGUGCAGUGAUUUUCCUUUUACACUGAAACAUGCCCAGAAUUCAUAAGUUACAAUUUAAUUUUUCCAACAAUUUUUUUUCCCGUGGCGUAAAAAGAUGAAUAUUCCAAAGGGGAAAGAGAGGCCUUAAAGCUGCAGAUUCUUGGGUCUAACAUCAAGCCAGUGAAUCAGAAUUUCUGUUGACAGAGCUCAGGAAACUGCAUUUUAACAAGUUCACCACUUGAUGCUUGAGCACAUUAAAGCUUGGGAACCACUGACCUAACCAAAAAUAAAGAAAUCACUGGGAAUCCAUUAUACUGAAGGUAUCGUCUGACACAGCCCCAGCUGGAAAAGGUGCUUGAUACCACCAUGAUGGCCAGGAAGUCCAGACUCCUCAUAUGGUCUCCAAUGACACAAUGGUGGGGGGAGGGGUGGAAGAGGCUAUUUACUACUCAUCAGAGAUGAACAUCCUUGCUCCCUAAUGGUCUUUUCUGACAAUAACCCAGUGGGGAUAGGAUACUGGGCCCUUCAUUAUACCUGAUGAGAGUGGAAGUUUAGGCACCCCACUUGGCCUUUGCUGUCCUGCGUGGAGGGAGGUCUACAGUGUUUAGCUGCAGUAGAGAGGUUAUUGUCCAAAAGUUAUCUGUCUUCCUAGGCUCCCCCUUUCUUGCCAGUUUGGUUAGAGAGGGCGGCUUUCCUUGGGAAUUUUUUUGUCUGCUCCUAUUGACGUUUCUGGCUCACCAGCUUCAAUUCUUAGUUGAGGAUAUAUGAGGCAAAAAGUAAGCCUACAGAACUCACUGCUGUGUUUUUCCUUGGGUCUCCUGGUCCCUAACUGCCUUUUGCUUUCCACCUUUCAAAGUCUGGUGAUUGUUUCAUAUAUAAUCUCCAGGGUUUUAGUUAUACUUAAUGGGAGGAAUAGGAAAAUGAAUCAUACUCUAUCUUCUUGAAAGCGGACGUAAUUCGUAUGAUUUUUUAAAAUCUAAAAAUGGUCACAUGGAGUUCUUGUUUUGAAUUAGGCAUGUUUUUGAACACAUUACAUGUAUAUGUAUAUGUUUUAUCCUCAUGAUAAGCUUUUAAGGAGGCUAUUUUUUAUUAGCCCAGUUUUCCCAAAAAGACACUAAGCCCCAGGGAGGCUGAAUAACUGCAAUGAAGAGUUGGUUAAGCAGGCUUAGGUACUCACACUCUGCACAUUCCAAAGAAAGGAGUGAUCUUGGUCAGCUCCUGGAGAUGCCUUCUGGGGCCGGAUGAGGGUUUUGUAUGGCUGAGGCCCUGGACCAGCUUGUGUCAGUAUGACCAGAGGAUUUACGCUUACAACGUGACUUCUGGUUAUGUCUGUUGUUUGUCUGAGGCUUUAGGCAUGCUGUGUCAGUUUCACUUAUGAGGGUGUGAAAGACUGAGUGGCUGUCCAGCCUUGUGGUUGCUGCAUGCUUAUAUGACUGACCUCCAAUAAACCUGAACACCAAGGCUUGGGAAGGCUUCCCUGGUUGGUAACACUUAGCAGGUGAUGUCUCACAUUAUUGCCAGGAGAAUUAAGCACUUAUGCAACCCUACAUUGAGAAGACAACUAUUUCCCCUUGGAAACUUGUGUCUUUUCUUCUGGACCUCAUCCUAUGUGCAUUACCUCUUUACUGAUUUUAAUCUGUGUCCUUCUACGGUAAUAAACUAUA